UUUAAAUGUAUGCUCAAUGCGAAUCCCGACUAUGUUAAUGUGCAUUGGAUAUCUGCAGACAGAGCCGACCAUCUGCACCCAAUGUUGACGGUUAACUAUUAAACUAAUAUAUUUUUCAACUCAUUUAAAAGGCCAUUGAAUAGUCACGGUGUAAGAAAAUUUAAAAAAUUCAAUGAUACCUAGUGAGAAACAAUAUAUAGGUA